ACCUCUCCCUGCCUUCCUCCUUCCACACAGACCAGCGCACCCGGGCUCGCUCAGCUAUGCAAGAGCGGCGCCCUCCCAGAGGUCAAGUUCCCCCUCCACCAGGCAGUAGGGACAGCCUGGCCUGGAGCGUGGCUGUUCUGCCUGGGGGACCCUGCGGAUAUUUUCCAUGCAGCCUGCCCCACUGUGGUCCCCCUAGACCUAGUCUCCUUGCCAAGCUUCCUUCUCGCACCCCCAGCCCGCCCCCUCGUCUCAUCUAACUCAGUCAUCUCUCCCUGUCUGUCCCCUGAAGCCCUGAGCUAGCCACUUCCUCCCCCACAACUACACCCAGGCGCGCAUCCCUCCCUGUCGCUAACUCCGGCUGGACUUGCCACAACUUUUGCUUUUAUAGCCCUCAGCCGCGUCACCGGGGUCAUUGCUCAACGGGACGAUUCCUCCACGGCCACCGGCAAAAAAGUCCCUCCCCGACCCUGCCCGGAGAGACUCCCGGGCGGUGCAUGGUCUCCCAGGCGGCCCCCACGCAAGGACCCCAGUGUAUCCCCGCUUCUCUUUAACAGUGCUUUUUGGGAUCGCGGACAGCGCUCAAGCAGGCAUCCCCAGCCUGGCUCUUCUGGAAGCAAACCUGGUGAACUCCUGAGCCCUCCAGCAAGGCGGGCAGGGCCCGAAUGUCUGGAGAGGACUUUGGACCGUGUAGCGGGCACCUCCCUUGCUAGGGGGUGCAGGGUGAUGAGGAAGCUCUGGCCCCUGAGGUAGAGGAUGAAAAAGG
rnacentral:lncRNA from 1 species